rnacentral:rRNA from 1 species
AUCGACGCUGAUGCACGAAAGCGUGGGGAUCGAACAGGAUUAGAUACCCUGGUAGUCCACGCCGUAAACGAUGAUGGCCAGCCGCCGGGGCGGAGGCUUCGGUGGCGAAGCGAAAGCGUUAAGCCAUCCACCUGGGGAGUACGGCCGCAAGGCUGAAACUCAAAGGAAUUGACGGGGGCCCGCACAAGCGGAGGAACAUGUGGUUUAAUUCGAUGAUACGCGAGGAACCUUACCCGGGCUCGAACGGCGGCCGGAUGGGACGGAGACGUCCCAGUCUACGGACGGCCGCCGAGGUGCUGCAUGGUUGUCGUCAGCUCGUGCCGUGAGGUGUCGGCUCAAGUGCCAUAACGAGCGCAACCCCUGCCGCCAGUUGCCAUCGCGUAGUGGCGGGCACUCUGGCGGGACUGCCGCCGCAAGGUGCGAGGAAGGUGGGGACGACGUCAAAUCAGCACGGCCCUUACGUCCGGGGCGACACACGUGUUACAAUGGCGGCCACAGCGGGGAGCGACGCGGCGACGCGGAGCGGAUCCCGAAAAGCCGUCCCAGUUCGGAUCGGAGUCUGCAACCCGACUCCGUGAAGCUGGAUUCGCUAGUAAUCGCGCAUCAGCCAUGGCGCGGUGAAUACGUUCCCGGGCCUUGUACACACCGCCCGUCAAGCCAUGGGAGCCGGGGGCGCCUGAAGCCCGUGCCCGCGAGGAGCGGCCAAGGGCGAAACCGGUGACUGGGGCUAAGUCGUAACAAGGUAGCCGUACCGGAAGGUGUGGCUGGAACACCUCCUUUUUGG